UUUGGCGUUUAUUUGCAUGUCUGAUCCCUGUUUCGGCAGCGAAGGCAUGUCAUAAACACCUUUUCAAUUGUUGGCUCAAUUGCGACUUUGGCUUGGUCCUUCUCGGUUUCUUGUGCUGCAUACCUCUACGAAGGUAAUUGGUCGGCCUAAGCGUUCCACAAAUCUUACAUGCACCAAACCUUUUGUGUUUGUUGUGUGUUAGACCACGAAGCAUGCAUAGUGUUCUGCUUUUCCAGUGCCGUUCCGGUGCUUUGGGUUGUAGGCACAUUAUGUUUUGCUUGAUCUCUCGGAUACGGAAAAUUUAGUGGGUAUGAGGCAUGCGCUUGCAUGUUUUUAUUUGCCCCGAACGAUGUUCCUAGCGUACGACUGUUGUUACGUUUUGAUUGGGUCCUUUGCGGCUUGAGUCAUGCGUGAACAACGUCGUUGAGGAA
rnacentral:misc_RNA from 1 species